rnacentral:rRNA from 1 species
AAAGAAACUAACAGGAUUCCCCUAGUAACGGCGAGUGAAGCGGGAAAAGCUCAAAUUUGUAAUCUGGCGCCUUGGGCGUCCGAGUUGUAAUCUCGAGAAGUAUUUUCCGCGCUGGACCGCACAUAAGUCUGUUGGAAUACAGCGUCAUAGUGGUGAGAACCCCGUAUAGGGUGCGGAUGCCCAGUGCUUUGUGAUAUAACUUUCGAAGAGUCGAGUUGUUUGGGAAUGCAGCUCAAAUUGGGUGGUAAAUUCCAUCUAAAGCUAAAUAUUGGCGAGAGACCGAUAGCGAACAAGUACCGUGAGGGAAAGAUGAAAAGCACUUUGGAAAGAGAGUUAACAGUACGUGAAAUUGUUGGAAGGGAAACGCUUGAAGUCAGACUUGCAUUUUGGAGUUCAGCCGCAAGGUGUAUUCUUCAAUUCGCAGGCCAGCAUCAGUUUUUGGGGGUGGAAAAGCGCGGUUCGAAGGUAGCAGUCUCGGCUGUGUUAUAGCUUGCCGCUGGAUUCACUUUURGGGACUGAGGAACGCAGUACACUUUUUGCAAGAUUCUCGGAUCUUUCGUACUUAGGAUGCUGGUGGAAUGGCUUUAAACGACCCGUCUUGAAACACGGACCAAGGAGUCUAACAUGCUUGCGAGUGUUUGGGUGUUAAACCCGGACGCGUAAUGAAAGUGAAUGGAGGUGGGAUCCGCAAGGUGCACCAUCGACCGAUCUGGAUUCUCUAAGAUGGAUUUGAGUAAGAGCAAUUAUGUUGGGACCCGAAAGAUGGUGAACUAUGCCUGAAUAGGGUGAAGCCAGAGGAAACUCUGGUGGAGGCUCGUAGCGGUUCUGACGUGCAAAUCGAUCGUCAAAUUUGGGUAUAGGGGCGAAAGACUAAUCGAACCAUCUAAUGUUGCUUGGUGGUUAAUAGGGACUUCAAAGUAGAGCCCUAGUGGGAGUGGUAACUUGCGACACUUUCAAAUUGCGGGGACGCCCUUAGAGCUCUGAUUACGGCGGCUCAUCGAAAGAUAGAGUGCAGCAGCAGGUUAAUGGCCUCGCGGAUCGUAAAAACAUCAGAGAUUGGGUAAUCCGCAGCCAAGUCCUAAAGGGUACCUUUCAGCUACCCCAUGGAUGCAGUUCAUCGACUAAAUGGAAGUGGGUGCCCUUCCUUUACCGGAAGGGUGCUUGAGAUAUAGUCAGCCCCUCGUGAGAGCGAGCUAAUGGGACUAAGAGUCGCUUCGUUUUUACCACUUGCAAACGACGAUUCCCGAGCCCAUUGGGGUCUAAGAGGAAAUAGUAAAACUCGAAGACUGGAUUACGUGCUAGUAGCUGGUUCCUGCCGAAGUUUCCCUCAGGAUAGCAGAAACUCACAUCAGUUCUAUGAGGUAAAGCGAAUGAUUAGAGGCCUUGGGGUUGAAACAACCUUAACCUAUUCUCAAACUUUAAAUAUGUAGGAAGUCCUUGCUACUUGAUGAGCGAGGA